AAGUCGUAACAAGGUCUCCGUAGGUGAACCUGCGGAGGGAUCAUUAACACGUAUCCAAACGUUCAACAACACAAAACCCCAAACGGUCUCUUAUUGCUCCUCGAGAACGGCGACUAUCAGCCAUAGGUGAGGGUCAUUUUGAUUCAUACUUCGGUAUGGAAAGAUUUGGCUUGCUACGAUGGUCUAUUUAUUGCUCAAAAGGGCUACCGCACAUCGAGUGUUCAAAGUCACCUGGUUGCUAGUGCCACCUCAGCGUGUGCAUACAUUUAUUUGUAUGUGCUAACCUGAAGCCUAGUGACCUUAUUUUAACCACAAACCCCUUUUUUUAUAACUACUGAACUUACUUUAUUUGGACUUCGGUCUGAGUACUGUAUUUACGAAACACGAACAACUCUUAGCAACGGAUAUCUUGGUUCUC
rnacentral:misc_RNA from 1 species